rnacentral:tRNA from 1 species
UCCCUGGUGGUCUAGUGGUUGGAGCUCAGCACUUUCACUGCUGCAGCCCAGGUUCGAUCCCUGGUUUGGAAA